rnacentral:tRNA from 1 species
AACUCUUUAGUAUAUUAAAGUAUAAUUAAUUUCCAAUUAAUGGGAUUUAAGGGUUA